rnacentral:lncRNA from 1 species
AUUCAAAUUUCUGUUUGGGGUGCUCUGAAAACACAGAAGGGACACGGGACAGAUGUGCCAUCCAACCGGGAACAUCUGGAGAGUUUCACUGAGUCUGUUGGGGUAUCCAGGACUGGCUGAGGUGGAUUGCUGGGUUCUGAUGCUAGUGAGCCGUCUUGGUUUCUGUUGGGAAGGUGCACAGAGGUCUGGCGUUCAGACCUGCCUUCUGACUGAAGAUGAAGGACCGAAACAGGGCCUGUGCCAGAAGAUGGGUUGCUUCUGCACACUGUGCACUCACCUGCACAGACUGUUCUCUGAGGGACCCAAGACACAAGAUGGUUCCCUCACCUGCUCUGGAAGUCAGAUCCCUCCCAGGUGGUCACCUCUCCUCUGGCAGGGAAGGUGCCUGGAUAUCUGGAGCCCGAAAUGGGGGUGGGGGCUGGGGGGUUGGUAGGGUCUGUCCCAGAAGCUGUAUAGCUUCUGCCCAUCCCAGAAGCUGUGUCACUUCUACAGUCCGCUUACUCACCCUCUGUAGUCCACGAGCUGAUCUGCGCAGACUGGUCCAGAGGGGACCCGGGAGAAAGAUGGCUCCCUCACCUGCUCUGGGGGUCAGAACCCUCCCAGGUGGCCUCCUCUCCUCUGGCGGGAAAGGUACCCAGAUGUCUACAGCCCAAAACAGGGCCUGUCCCAGAAGCUGUGUCACUUCUGCAGUCCACACUCUUCACCUGCACAGACUGUUCUCAAAGGGGACCGGGGAGACAAGAUGGCUCCCUCACCUGCUCUGGGGGUCAGAACCCUCCCAGGUGGCCACCUCUCCUAUGGCAGGAAAGGUGCCCAGAUGUCUGGAGCUCGCAACGGGGGUCUGUCCAGGAAGCUGUGUCGCUUCUGCAGUCCCCUCCGCAGUCCGUGACUGAGACCACAGACUGGUCUCAGAGAGACCUGGUAGACAAGAUCGAGGACAAAUUUCCCUAAGGAUCUCCUCUUCUGUUACAUACUGGCAUGUUGCUGAACUUAGACACCAACGCAUAAGUUUUGUGUUAACAUUUAGCCCAUAACACAGACUCUAUCUGGUGGAGAGUUCUUAGGGAAGCCCAAUGGGGGUUCUAAAACUUGAACACCAGAGUGGGCUGAAGUCUCCAUCACCUAUAGUCACACAGGUAUUAAAAAAUAAUAAUAAUAAAAAUAAAUAAACCACUUCCUGGCCACAUCUCUAAAAAUUUCUCUCUAAAUAUCUAACUACCUCAGGUCCUAGUAUCCCAUAGGCACUGUCUAGUUUUAACAGAAAGUUAGGAUGCACACUAACAAGAGAGGAGAGAAAAUAACAGUGGCUGUCUGGAGAGAAAGAAGGAAAGAAACAUGAAGCAGACUUUAGAAUUGGCAGGUACAGGUACUGAUGUAGCCCACUUCCUUUCCCCAGGCUUGCUUUGGGAAAUAAAUGCUUUGAAGUUUGGGGAAACUUACAUUGGUACAAAUAAAAUAUUUGGAGGAUGAAUACCAAAGUCACAAAAUUCAUAUAUGCGUCCCACUGAGACACAUGUCUGAGACAUAGCCUUCGGGUCAUCAUCUCAUACAGUCCUUUUCAGAUGCUGAGACACAGUCUUCGGGUCACCAUUUCAUACAGUCCUUUUCAGAUGCUGAGACACAGCCUUCGGGUCACCAUCUCAUACAGUCCUUUUCAGAUGCUUGAGCUCUGACUGCAGCCUUGUGAUGUCAACACCACUCAUGACAGAAUCAUAUCCACACAGAGAAGUUUAGGUGAUCUGGGAGUUUUGAAUGAGCGCUGUGCAAUUUGCUAGGUUAAGAGCUAGUGAAAAAACUGGGCAAAGGGCCAAGAGAGAUGGAGAAUUGUAAGCAGAGAUGAAGAGUCUAAGGGGGAAAACAUUUGAAAGCCAUAGGAACUUGAAUUUGUUCUUAGACAAGAACAAGAAGGCAAAAGGAAAUAAAGGGUGCAAUGCCCUCAGUUUCUCCAUGGUUCGGAUCCAACUCUCCUAGGACACUUCCACCAUGUCCUCAGACAGAGCCUGUGACAUCAGACCCAGUGAAUGUCCCCGUGGCAAUUUGCAUAUUUAAUCAUGCACUCUCAUUGCCAUUGCGGAGAUGACUGUGGUUGGGCAGCUGAGCCCCCCAUCUGCAGUAAGCAGUUGAACUGUGAAUGAAACAUUAAUCCAUUCUGCCUUUCCAUUGGAUACUUGGUUACUAUGUCCUCCAAUAACAAACCUUUUUAUAUACAGGAGGAUAAUGCUUUCCACUCGACUUGACAUAGCCCUGGACUGAUAUUAAUUAUCAAAGGUUAACCACAGGAAACUAGUAUUUGAAGAUAGGCCAACUGGCUCCAAUAAAAUUGGUUUCCCAUUCAGUUGGUUUGAAAAUAGAAUUGUUUUAUGUUAAUGUUUAUCCCCAGUCCAUGGAAUCAAGGCACCUUGGCUUUGAUUUUCUUUCUCUGUUUGAUUAUAAGUCCACUGUAUUGUUUAUCCAAUAUUCAUUUUCCCUUCAUUCCAAGCUCCCUUUAAGUAGGCCAGAGCUUUGUAAUGAACUCCAGCCAAUAGCCUGGAUGCAUUUAAACAGGAGCUAGAACAGGAGCUAUGCAGUCUGUUCUCUUCUAUGUGGUAGGCCCACAUCAGCAGCAUCCUUACACUUCCACGAAGAGGAGUGUAUCUUGCCUCCUUUCUCCAUAUAUGCAACCACAUGGAUAUACUGUGCAAGCAAGUCACAAACUGUUAGGGUCUAAGAAUUGCUGAAACAAAACCCCAGACUCAAAUAGGAUGCAAAGGCAAAGGACAAUUAUUCUGCAGAAAAGACCAGCAUACCAGUCAGGGUCAACCAUUCAUCAAAAUGGCCAGGACUCGAGGAGCUCCCAGGCCCUUUAAUGCAGGGCUUGGGGAAUUAGGUAACCUCUAAUAUGAUUGGUAGGGGCAGAGCAGUGACAUUGGUACAAUUCUGACUGGCUACUAUGUUAGUUUCAUUAUAUUUGGUGAGACCUUGAAGAAUUUUGGAAACCAGCACAGUUUUGGCCUUGUUAUCUCCUCCAGCUAGGUGUCGCAGGAGCUGACUCAACUCCAGACUUAUCCUCCCUAAGUCAGAGCCAUCAUUUAAAGAAGCCCAUUGUCGGUGGCUCCUUCUGAGGAGCCCAGGAUGUUUCCCAGAGAGUUCAAAUUCCAAGGUUUUUGAACCUUUCGAAGAUGGGCUUCAUUUGCUAUUCUGCCCUGAAUUGUCAGGCAGUCCUGAGGCAGCCAUGGUGUCUGUUUUUCUUACAUUUUCUGCAAUAAGAAGGAAACUAUAAUGUGGCCUAUUUCACUCAUUUUCACAGACUUGGCCCAAGUUCAUGAGAAGUUAGCUACUUUGUAAGUCAAAUCUUUAUAUACCGACUGGGCAGUGUACCCUACAGCCAUGUAUAUGAACUUUAUGGUUCCUCUAGAUAACUGUUUCUGGGAAAUUACACCUUUUCAAUGGAAGAAAAGAGAUAGCCUAUAAUUGUCUCAAUAUUGUACAAGCACCUAUUAAUCAGAAUAAUAAAUUCUAGCUU